rnacentral:rRNA from 1 species
UACGUAGGGGGCAAGCGUUGUCCGGAGUCAUUGGGCGUAAAGAGCGUGUAGGCGGCCCGGUAAGUCCGCCGUGAAAGUCCAGGGCUCAACCCUGGAAUGCCGGUGGAAACUGCCGGGCUGGAGUCCGGAAGAGGCGAGUGGAAUUCCCGGUGUAGCGGUGAAAUGCGCAGAUAUCGGGAGGAACACCAAUGGCGAAGGCAGCUCGCUGGGACGGUACUGACGCUGAGGCGCGAAAGCGUGGGGAGCAAACAGG